rnacentral:rRNA from 1 species
GACGAACGCUGGCGGCGUGCCUAAUACAUGCAGGUCGAGCGCAGGAAAUCGACGGAACCCUUCGGGGGGAAGUCGACGGAAUGAGCGGCGGACGGGUGAGUAACACGUAAAGAACCUGCCCUCAGGUCUGGGAUAACCACGAGAAAUCGGGGCUAAUACCGGAUGGGUCAUCGGACCGCAUGGUCCGAGGAUGAAAGGCGCUUCGGCGUCGCCUGGGGAUGGCUUUGCGGUGCAUUAGCUAGUUGGUGGGGUAAUGGCCCACCAAGGCGACGAGGCAGAGCCGACCUGGGAGGGUGAUCGGCCCCACUGGGACUGAGACACGGCCCAGACUCCUACGGGAGGCAGCAGUAGGGAAUCUUCCACAAUGGACGAAAGUCUGAUGGAGCAACGCCGCUUGAACGAUGAAGGCUUUCGGGUCGUAAAGUUCUGUUGUAAGGGAAGAACAAGUGCCGCAGGCAAUGGCGGCACCUUGACGGUACCUUGCGAGAAAGCCACGGCUAACUACGUGCCAGCAGCCGCCGUAAUAC